rnacentral:rRNA from 1 species
GAGUUUGAUCCUGGCUCAGGACGAACGCUGGCGGCGUGCUUAACACAUGCAAGUCGAACGAUGAUGCCCAGCUUGCUGGGCGGAUUAGUGGCGAACGGGUGAGUAACACGUGAGUAACCUGCCCUUGACUUCGGGAUAACUCCGGGAAACCGGGGCUAAUACCGGAUAUGAGCCGCCUUCGCAUGGGGGUGGUUGGAAAGUUUUUCGGUCAGGGAUGGGCUCGCGGCCUAUCAGCUUGUUGGUGGGGUGAUGGCCUACCAAGGCGACGACGGGUAGCCGGCCUGAGAGGGCGACCGGCCACACUGGGACUGAGACACGGCCCAGACUCCUACGGGAGGCAGCAGUGGGGAAUAUUGCACAAUGGGCGAAAGCCUGAUGCAGCGACGCCGCGUGAGGGAUGAAGGCCUUCGGGUUGUAAACCUCUUUCAGCAGGGAAGAAGCGCAAGUGACGGUACCUGCAGAAGAAGCGCCGGCUAACUACGUGCCAGCAGCCGCGGUAAUA